ACAGUGGACGCGAGCAUCUUUAUCUUUGUGGCCAAGUUAUUAAGGGCGCACGGUGGAUGCCUUGGCACCAGGAGCCGAUGAAGGACGUGGGAGGCUGCGAUAUGCCUCGGGGAGCUGUCAACCGAGCUAUGAUCCGAGGAUUUCCGAAUGGGGAAACCCGGCAGGGCUUUAAAUCCUGUCACCCAUGCCUGAACACAUAGGGCAUGUGGAGGGAACGCGGGGAAGUGAAACAUCUCAUUACCCGCAGGAAGAGAAAACAACCGUGAUUCCGCGAGUAGUGGUGAGCGAAAGCGGAUGAGGCUAAACCAGUUUCGUGUGAUAGCCGGCAGGCGUUGCGUAGCUGGGGUUGUGGGACUGUUCUGAUGUUGCUGCCGCUUCGUCGAAGAGUUAGAAAACGUGUUGUUAGCCGAAGGUCAUGCGAAUGGACCGCCAUAGAGGGUAAUAGCCCUGUAGGUGAAAACGGCACGUCUCUUGAGCAGUAUCCCAAGUAGCACGGAGCCCGUGAAAUUCCGUGUGAAUCUGGCGGGACCACCCGCUAAGCCUAAAUACUCCCUGGUGACCGAUAGCGGACUAGUACCGUGAGGGAAAGGUGAAAAGUACCCCGGGAGGGGAGUGAAAUAGUACCUGAAACCGUGUGCCUACAAUCCGUGGGGGCUGGGCUUUUCGGAGCCUGGUGACCGCGUGCCUUUUGAAGAAUGAGCCUGCGAGUUUGCGGUGUGUGGCGAGGUUAACCCGUGUGGGGUAGCCGUAGCGAAAGCGAGUCCGAAUAGGGCGUUGAGUCGCAUGUCCAAGACCCGAAGCCGAGUGAUCUACCCAUGGCCAGGUUGAAGCGCGGGUAAGACCGUGUGGAGGACCGAACCCACCAGGGUUGAAAACCUGGGGGAUGAGCUGUGGGUAGGGGUGAAAGGCCAAUCAAACUCGGUGAUAGCUGGUUCUCCCCGAAAUGCAUUUAGGUGCAGCGUCACGUGUUUCUUGCCGGAGGUAGAGCACUGGAUGGCCUAGGGGGCCUACAAGCUUACUGAAGUCAGCCAAACUCCGAAUGCCGGUAAGUGAAGCGUGGCAGUGAGACUGCGGGGGAUAAGCUUCGUAGUCGAGAGGGAAACAGCCCAGAUCGCCAGCUAAGGCCCCUAAGCGUGCGCUAAGUGGAAAAGGAUGUGGAGUCGCAUAGACAACCAGGAGGUUGGCUUAGAAGCAGCCACCCUUGAAAGAGUGCGUAAUAGCUCACUGGUCAAGUGAUUCCGCGCCGACAAUGUAGCGGGGCUCAAGCGCACCGCCGAAGCUGCGGCAUGCAUGGUGAACCCGGCCUUUUCGGAGGUCCAGGUCUGUGCGUGGGUAGGGGAGCGUCGUAUGGCGUGUGAAGCGGCGGGGUGACCCAGCCGUGGAUGCCAUACGAGUGAGAAUGCAGGCAUGAGUAGCGAAUGACGGGUGAGAAUCCCGUCCGCCGAAUGACCAAGGGUUCCUGGGGCAGGCUUUUCCGCCCAGGGUGAGUCGGGACCUAAGGCGAGGCCGACAGGCGUAGUCGAUGGACAACGGGUUGAUAUUCCCGUACCGGCGCUGACGCGCCCAUGCUGAACCUGGUUUGUGCUAACCGUUCUGGUUUUUGUUCUGCCUUCGGGUGGGGCUUGGGCUGGUCGGGACCCCGGCUGGUAGUAGGCAAGCGAUGGGGUGACGCAGGAGGGUAGUCCAACCCAGGAGGUGGUUUUCCUGGGGCAAGGGUGUAGGGCGAAGUGCAGGUAAAUCCGUGCUUCAUGUGCUUGAGACCUGAUGCCGAGCCGAUUGUGGCGAAGUGGGUGAUCCCAUGCUGCCGAGAAAAGCCUCUAGCGAGUGUCAGGGCCGCCCGUACCCUAAACCGACACAGGUGGUCAGGUAGAGAAUACCGAGGCGUGCGAGUGAACUGUGGUUAAGGAACUCGGCAAAAUGCCCCCGUAACUUCGGGAGAAGGGGGGCCACUUCCUGUGUAGGAGUUUACCUCCGAAGCGGGGAGGGGCCGCAGAGACCAGGGGAAAGCGACUGUUUACUAAAAACACAGCUCCGUGCGAAGUCGUAAGACGAUGUAUACGGAGUGACGCCUGCCCGGUGCUGGAACGUUAAGGGGACGGGUUAGCUCUUCGGGGCGAAGCUCAGAACUUAAGCGCCAGUAAACGGCGGUGGUAACUAUAACCAUCCUAAGGUAGCGAAAUUCCUUGUCGGGUAAGUUCCGACCUGCACGAAUGGCGUAACGACUUUCCUACUGUCUCAACCACAGACUCGGCGAAAUUGCAUUACGAGUAAAGAUGCUCGUUACGCGCGGCAGGACGGAAAGACCCCGGGACCUUUACUACAGCUUGAUAUUGGUGUUCGGUUCGGUUUGUGUAGGAUAGGUGGGAGACUGUGAAGCUGGGACGCCAGUUCCGGUGGAGUCAUUGUUGAAAUACCACUCUGGUCGUACUGGAUGUCUAACCUCGGUCCGUGAUCCGGAUCAGGGACAGUGUCAGGUGGGUAGUUUAACUGGGGCGGUUGCCUCCUAAAGGGUAACGGAGGCGCCCAAAGGUUCCCUCAGCCUGGUUGGCAAUCAGGUGUUGAGUGCAAGUGCACAAGGGAGCUUGACUGUGAGACAGACAUGUCGAGCAGGUGCGAAAGCAGGGACUAGUGAUCCGGCGGUGGCUUGUGGAAGCGCCGUCGCUCAACGGAUAAAAGGUACCCCGGGGAUAACAGGCUGAUCUUGCCCAAGAGUCCAUAUCGACGGCAAGGUUUGGCACCUCGAUGUCGGCUCGUCGCAUCCUGGGGCUGGAGUAGGUCCCAAGGGUUGGGCUGUUCGCCCAUUAAAGCGGUACGCGAGCUGGGUUUAGAACGUCGUGAGACAGUUCGGUCCCUAUCCGCCGCGCGCGCAGGAGACUUGAGAAGGGCUGUCCCUAGUACGAGAGGACCGGGACGGACGAACCUCUGGUGUGCCAGUUGUUCUGCCAAGAGCAUGGCUGGUUGGCUACGUUCGGAAGGGAUAACCGCUGAAAGCAUCUAAGCGGGAAGCUCGCUUCGAGAUGAGGUCUCCCACAGGGUAGCCUGGUAAGGCCCCCGACUAGAUGAUCGGGUUGAUAGGCCGGAGGUGGAAGUGCGGCAACGCAUGGAGCUGACCGGUACUAAUAGGCCGAGGGCUUGACCACAA
rnacentral:rRNA from 1 species